rnacentral:rRNA from 1 species
UACAGAGGGGGCAAGCGUUGUUCGGAAUUACUGGGCGUAAAGGGCGCGUAGGCGGCCUUCUAAGUCGAACGUGAAAUCCCUGGGCUCAACCCAGGAACUGCGUCCGAUACUGGAAGGCUUGAAUCCGGGAGAGGGAUGCGGAAUUCCAGGUGUAGCGGUGAAAUGCGUAGAUAUCUGGAGGAACACCGGUGGCGAAAGCGGCUUACUGGGUCUCUUCUGACGCUGAGGUACGAAAGCUAGGGGAGCGAACGGG